AUUGAACGCUGGCGGCAGGCCUAACACAUGCAAGUCGAGCGGAUGAAGGGAGCUUGCUCCUGGAUUCAGCGGCGGACGGGUGAGUAAUGCCUAGGAAUCUGCCUGGUAGUGGGGGAUAACGUCCGGAAACGGGCGCUAAUACCGCAUACGUCCUGAGGGAGAAAGUGGGGGAUCUUCGGACCUCACGCUAUCAGAUGAGCCUAGGUCGGAUUAGCUAGUUGGUGGGGUAAAGGCCUACCAAGGCGACGAUCCGUAACUGGUCUGAGAGGAUGAUCAGUCACACUGGAACUGAGACACGGUCCAGAUUCCUACGGGAGGCAGCAGUGGGGAAUAUUGGACAAUGGGCGAAAGCCUGAUCCAGCCAUGCCGCGUGUGUGAAGAAGGUCUUCGGAUUGUAAAGCACUUUAAGUUGGGAGGAAGGGCAGUAAGUUAAUACCUUGCUGUUUUGACGUUACCAACAGAAUAAGCACCGGCUAACUUCGU
rnacentral:rRNA from 1 species